ensembl:lincRNA
GGAAGGGAGAUAGGGCCGUGUGAGCUUUCCUCAGGAGUGAGCAAAAACAGGAACGUGCCUGCAGAGGGAGGAGUUCCCAAAGAGGAAACGGCGCAGGAACAGCAAAUGCAGAGAGGAUGCACACUCUGAAGAGGGCAGGCAGCUUCUGCACCGAGGGAGCAAAGGGGCGUGUCAGGGGCAGCUGCUGGAAGGAGGCGCAAGCACCACGGAGAGUCUGGGAUGCCCAGCCAAGGAGCCCUGGAAGGGUUGCCCUGGGGACUGACACUGUGGGCUCUGUGUUUUAGCCAAGUCACCCAGGCAGCUGAACAGAAGAUGGACUGGAGGGAGAAGCCUGGAUGAUCGCUCAGCAACAAAGGAGCCAGAAAAGGCAAGGUGUACGCACCGUGUGCAGCAUGGGCAAGCUGCAGGCAUGCAGCAGGAGUUCUCAGCCCACAAGUCUUGGCAACUGGAACAAAACAUCCCAACCACAGCAUUUCCGUGUUGUUUACUUCAGCAGGGCCCAGGCCCGGGGGUUCUGCAGAGACCACCAGGAUCCCAGCAGGACAAUAGGAAAUCUCAGCAGAGGCGUUCCAGAACACGGAAAAGCCAAUUCCUGAUGAAUCCAGAGGAUGUUCAAAGCUCACCAGCCCAAUGAACCCCGAUGGAUUCCCCAGUGGGCCCUCUCUCCUUUCAGUAGAUCUUCCAGGAGUUUUACCAUUUAAAGAGAACUGCAGGAGGCCAUCUUAACCAGACUGUAUGUUUCAUUAAACCAAGAAUGGUAUUUAUUCUAGCAGUAUUCUAGGCACUGGGGUACAACAAAGAGCACAAAUUGAGAGGUGACAGCAUGCUGGCAGUCCUCACAGCCCUCGCUCGCUCUCGGCGCCUCCUCUGCCUGGGCUCCCACUUUGGCGGCACUUGAGGAGCCCUUUGGCCCGCCGCUGCACUGUGGGAGCCCCUUUCUGGGCUGGCCAAGGCUGGAGCCCACUCCCUCAGCUUGCAGGGAGGUGUGGACGGAGAGGUGCGAGCGGUAACCGGGGCUGCGUGCGGCACUUGCGGGCCAGCUGGAGUUCCGGGUGGGCGCAGGCUUGGCGGGCCCCGCACUCGGAGCAGCCAGCCAGCCCUGCUGGCCCCGGGGCAAUGAGGGACUUAGCACCCGGGCCAGUGGCUGCGGAGGGUGUACUGGGUCCCCCAGCAGUGCCAGCCCACUGGCGCUGCACUCGAUUUCUCACCCAGCCUUAGCUGCCUUCCUGUGGGGCACGGCUCGGGACCUGCAGCCCGCCAUGCCUGAGCCUCCCACCCACUCCAUGGGCUUCUGUGCAGCCCGAGCCUCCCCAACAAGCAUCACUCCCUGCUCCACGGCGCCCAGUCCCAUCGACCACCCAAGGGCUGAGGAAUGCGAGCGCACAGCACGGGACUGGCAGGCAGCUCCACCUGCAGCCCUGGUUCGGGAUCCACUAGGUGAAGCCAGCUGGGCUCCUGAGUCUGGUGGGGACGUGGAGAGUCUUUAUAUCUAGCUCAGGGAUUGUAAAUACACCAAUCAGUACCCUGUGUUUAGCUCAGGGUUUGUGAGCACCAAUCGACACUCUGUAUCUAGCUGCUCAGGUGAGGAUGUGGAGAGUCUUUCUAUCUAGCUCAGGGAUUGUAAAUACACCAAUCAGCACCCUGUGUUUAGCUCAAGGUUUGUGAGUGCACCAGUCGACACUCUGUAUCUAGCUGCUCUGGUGGGGCCUUGGAGAACCUUUAUGUCUAGCUCAGGGAUUGUAAAUACACCAAUCGGCACUCUGUAUCUAGCUCAAGGUUUGUAAACACACCAAUCAGCACCCUGUGUUUAGCUCAAGGUUUCUGAAUGCACCAAUCGACACUCUGUAUCUAGCUGCUCUGGUGGGGCCUUGGAAAACCUGUGUGUCGAAACUCUGUAUCUAACUAAUCUGAUGGGGACAUGGAGAACCUUUGUAUCUAGCUCAGGGAUUGUAAACGCACCAAUCAGCGCUGACAAAACAGGCCACUCGGGCUCUACCAAUCAGCAGGAUGUGGGUGGGGCCAGAUAAGACAAUAAAAGCAGGCUGCCCGAGCCAGCAUUGGCAACCCCCUCGGGUCCCCUUCCACAAUGUGGAAGCUUUGUUCUUUCGCUCUUUGCAAUAAAUCUUGCUACUGCUCACUCUUUGGGUCCACUCUGCUUUUAUGAGCUGUAACACUCACCGCGAAGAUCUGCAGCUUCACUCCUGAGCCCAGCGAGACCAUGAACCCACCGGGAGGAGCGAACAACUCCAGACGCACUGCCUUAAGAGCUGUAACACUCACUGCGAAGGUCUGCAGCUUCACUCCUGAGCCAGCGAGACCACGAACCCCCCGGAAGGAAGAACUCUGAACACAUCUGAACAUCAGAAGGGAUAGACUCCAGACGCGCCACCUUAAGAGCUGUAACACUGUGAGGGUCCGCGGCUUCAUUCUUGAAGUCAGUGAGACCAAGAACCCACCAAUUCCAGACACAAAAUGACACAGUCCCUGCCCACAUGGAGCUGACAUUCUCAUGGAGAGAAAGGGGCAAAUAAACAAAUGUACAAUACUCCAAGUAGUCAUAGUGCUGUGAAGAAAAUACAGUGAUACAAGGGAAUUAUGAGAACCUUGGGAAUGGGGGGGCUGUUUUAAACAGGCCCAUCUGGAAGUUUCUCUCUCCUUUGAGCCAAGUCCUGAAGGAAAUGAGAGAGGGAUAUGGGGGGAAGAAUGUUCCAGGCAGAGAAAUCAGCCAGCACAAAGGCCCUGAGGCAGGAGUGUGCCCCAAGGGGUGUAGGAACAGUGUGGAGCUGGUAGGGCUGUGGCAGAGUGAGGGUGAGAGAGAAAGGAAGGGGAUGAUGGGCCUGGGGGGCAGACCAUGCUGAGCAGCAGCUUUUAAUUUUUAUUGAUUACAUCUUCCAUAAGAAAUCAGUUUUAUAUGGCAAUCCAAGACAGAUAUCCACAUAUAAACAUACAACUGAGAUAAACUGUAUGUGUGUACUCUUAUAUAUUUUAUUUUAUUCUGUUUCAUUAAAAAAUAGUAUGAGUAAUGAUCUUCAAAUUGAUUUCCUGGGCUACUAAAUGGUCAUGGUCCACAGUUUGAGAAACACUGAUAUAGAGCCUUAUAGACCAUUACAAAGAGUGAGAUGGGGCCUGGCUCACACCUGUAAUCCCAGCACUUUGGGAGGCUGAGGCGGGCAGAUCACUUGAGAUCAGGAGUUUGAGAGCAGCCUGGCCAACAUGGCGAAACCCCAUCUCUACUAAAAAUACAAAAAUUAGCCAGGCAUAGUGAUGCGUGCCUGUAGUCCCAGCUGCUCAGAAGGCUGAGGCAGGAGAAUCGCUUGAACCUGGGAGGCUGAGGUUGCAGUGAGCCAAGAUUGUGCCCCUGCACUCCAGCCUGGGCAACAGAGUGAGACUCUGUCUCAAAAAAAAAAAAAGAUUUAGAUGGAGUCAUUGCGCAGGUUUUGAGGAGGGGUGACACAAGCUGUUUCACUUUUUUGGUUCCAUUUUGAAAAUUAACAUAUAAUUUACAUUCAGUAAAACACACCCUUCCUAGUGUACAGUUCUUUGGUUUCAACAAAUGCAGACAUGUAAACACCACGUUUUGCUUUUGAAAGGGGUCGUGCAGGCUGCUAAGUGGAGAGGGAAGGUGGCAGGCGAGGACCAGCCAGAGGCACUCGUGGCGGCUUAGAGUGGCUUCUGGGUAUAUUUCUGAAGCCUGAGCCCACAGGAUUUGCUGAUAUUUUGGACGUGGCGGGUGAGAGACAGGGAAGAUUCCAGAGUGACUGCCUGGUCCUCAGCCUGCGUAAUGGGAACUUGAAAAGACGGGGGAGGAAAAUGCUUGGGAAGCAGAUCACGAGUUCUGGCUUAAAGUGUGAAAAGCAAGGAGAGAACGGGCUGGCCAUGGGGAGGAGUCCAAGGAGAGGCCAGGCUGGAUAUUGCGAUGUGGGCGGCUUCUGUAUCCCCACGACGCUGAGGGCCACGGGCCUGCCUGAGACAGCCAAGGGAGGGGGCGGAUGGAAAGAAGCAGUGAAGGACUGAGCCCUGGGGCAUGGCCACGCUAAAGAGAUAGAUAAUGAGAAGUUUGCAGCAGAAGAGUGAGAAGGGGCUGGCCGCCGGAGUGGGCAGGGUCCGGGGGGCAAAUGCACAAAGGCCUCCAUGCCAAGAGCGAGACGCUGGCUGGACGAAGCUGAGCAAGAUGGGGACAGGAAACUGACAACUAGAGGGUGCUUGUGUUAACAGCAGCGGAUCCGAAUGAGUCUGCAGUACUCUCAGCUCUUGCCUCCUCAGAAGAAAGAAUUCUCAACCGAGGGGGCAUAAGGCAGAGGGAGAGGCAGAAGCAAGUUUUAGAGCAGGAGUGAAAGUUUAUUAAAAAGUUUUAGAGUAGGAACAAAAGGAAGUAAAGUACACUUGGCAGAGGGCUCGAGAGGUCCAAGUGCCUGGCUUGACCUUUGACCUUUGACCCCAGGGUUUUAUACCUUGGCAUGCUUCUGGGGUUUUGCCUCUCCCCUCCCUCGAUUUUUCCUUGGGGUGGGCUGUCUGCAUGCACAGUGGCCCACCAGCGCUUGAGAGGGGCCGCAUGCAUAGUGUGUUUACUGAAGUUGUGCGCGUGCUCACUCAAGCUAUUCUUCCCUCACCAGUUGAGUGUUCCUAGAGGAAGGCCAAAUAUCAGUUGAACUCCACCAUUUUGCCUCUCAGUGUGCAUGCUUAGGCCCACUUGCCCAACUCCUGAGAUCUUAUCAGGAAGCUGCUGACUACCAGGAUCAAGUGUUUUCUAUUUUUUGGGAGACUGCCUUUCCCUGGCGCUGGGUGUGCCCAGUUAUUAUUUUAGACAGUUUAACAACCACCUGACCAUCAUCUGAUGAUCACCAGACAUUCCCUGGGAGGGGCCCUCUCCUGCCCUGCUCAUGUCCGACUAGCUACCUGCUGUAACACUUGGACUUUAUUCAGUAGGACAGUGGGGAUCCACAGUAGGUUUAUGAGUAGGGAGUGGCUUGAGCUGAGCUGUAUUUAGG